rnacentral:rRNA from 1 species
GAUGAACGCUGGCGGCGUGCCUAAUACAUGCAAGUCGAGCGAACAGAUAAGGAGCUUGCUCCUUUGACGUUAGCGGCGGACGGGUGAGUAACACGUGGGUAACCCACCUAUAAGACUGGAAUAACUCCGGGAAACCGGGGCUAAUGCCGGAUAACAUUUAGAACCGCAUGGUUCUAAAGUGAAAGAUGGUUUUGCUAUCACUUAUAGAUGGACCCGCGCCGUAUUAGCUAGUUGGUAAGGUAACGGCUUACCAAGGCAACGAUACGUAGCCGACCUGAGAGGGUGAUCGGCCACACUGGAACUGAGACACGGUCCAGACUCCUACGGGAGGCAGCAGUAGGGAAUCUUCCGCAAUGGGCGAAAGCCUGACGGAGCAACGCCGCGUGAGUGAUGAAGGUCUUCGGAUCGUAAAACUCUGUUAUUAGGGAAGAACAAAUGUGUAAGUAACUGUGCACGUCUUGACGGUACCUAAUCAGAAAGCCACGGCUAACUACGUG